CCUACGGGAGGCAGCAGUGAGGAAUAUUGGUCAAUGGCCGGAAGGCUGAACCAGCCAUGCCGCGUGAAGGUCAGUGCCCUAUGGGCGUUAAACUUCUUUUGUGCGGGAGCAAUAAUGGUCACGUGUGGCCAGACGAGAGUACCGUACGAAUAAGCAUCGGCUAACUCCGUGCCAGCAGCCGCGGUAAUACGGGGGAUGCAAGCGUUAUCCGGAUUUAUUGGGUUUAAAGGGUGCGUAGGCUGUGAGGUAAGUCAGCGGUGAAAUGCCCCCGCUCAACGGGGUGAAGUGCCAUUGAUACUGCCUGGCUGGAAUGCGGAUGCCGUGGGAGGAAUGUGUGGUGUAGCGGUGAAAUGCAUAGAUAUCACACAGAACACCGAUUGCGAAGGCAUCUCACGAAUCCGCGAUUGACGCUGAUGCUCGAAAGCGUGGGUAUCAAACAGGAUUAGAUACCCUUGUAGUC
rnacentral:rRNA from 1 species